rnacentral:rRNA from 1 species
AACGAACGCUGGCGGCAUGCCUAACACAUGCAAGUCGAACGAGAUCUUCGGGUCUAGUGGCGCACGGGUGCGUAACGCGUGGGAAUCUGCCCUUUGGUUCGGAAUAACAGUUGGAAACGACUGCUAAUACCGGAUGAUGACGAAAGUCCAAAGAUUUAUCGCCAGAGGAUGAGCCCGCGUAGGAUUAGCUAGUUGGUGUGGUAAAGGCGCACCAAGGCGACGAUCCUUAGCUGGUCUGAGAGGAUGAUCAGCCACACUGGGACUGAGACACGGCCCAGACUCCUACGGGAGGCAGCAGUGGGGAAUAUUGGACAAUGGGCGAAAGCCUGAUCCAGCAACGCCGCGUGAGUGAUGUAGGCCUUAGGGUUGUAAAGCUCUUUUACCCGGGAUGAUAAUGACAGUACCGGGAGAAUAAGCUCCGGCUAACUCCGUGCCAGCCGCCGCGGUAA